rnacentral:lncRNA from 1 species
UUUUAAUGCUAAGGGAAACAGAUAAAUGGCUAAGAAGUGGCUGCCUCUUUGAAGCCUUUCUAAUAUCAGGAGGCCCCAGAAGAUUGCAGGAGAGAAGAUCUGCAGGUGGAGAAAAAAUAGGAUUGUUGCUGCUGCACAUAAAUUUCAGGAUUAUGAUCUGCAGAAUGGAUCCCAGAAAUGAGAGGAAAGCAAGGAGAAAGAUCAGAAGCUUUGAAAAUACCAGUAGAAAAAUGGAGGGAACUGCAGUGACUUAA